rnacentral:lncRNA from 1 species
AACAUCAUAACAUCAUAACAUCACAACAUUGUACUAACCAUUUCAAGGACUUAGGGAUUUAACUUUGCUCUGUUUUGUAUGAAAAAAAAAACAAAACAAAAAAGUUUCCCUUUCCGGUAGUUUAUGCAAAGUUAAAUUCCAAAAGGCCUUGAAAACAUUUCAUGCAUUGCAUAGCAUAACAUAGCAUAACAGGUACUCUAAAGGGAUCAAUGUUCUCACGGUUUUCCUCCAAAAAGAAAAAUGGACCUCGAACAAAUUGUCAAAGACCUCCAGGCUCAGAAUGCUCAACUCCAGAAGAUAAUCUUGAACUUAUCCAGGGGCAGAAGGAACUGAAGGCUCUCUUGCUCGAGAAGAAAAAAGACAAGAAAUCUGUGAGGCACACUAACCCGGGAAGAAGGCAGUUUACGAAGAUCAAUAUGACUUUAG